GACGAACGCUGGCGGCGUGCUUAACACAUGCAAGUCGAACGGAAAGGCCCUGCUUUUGUGGGGUGCUCGAGUGGCGAACGGGUGAGUAACACGUGAGUAACCUGCCCUUGACUUUGGGAUAACUUCAGGAAACUGGGGCUAAUACCGGAUAGGAGCUCCUGCUGCAUGGUGGGGGUUGGAAAGUUUCGGCGGUUGGGGAUGGACUCGCGGCUUAUCAGCUUGUUGGUGGGGUAGUGGCUUACCAAGGCUUUGACGGGUAGCCGGCCUGAGAGGGUGACCGGGCACAUUGGGACUGGGAUACGGCCCGGACUCAUACGGGAGGCAGCGGUGGGAAUAUUGCACAAUGGGCGGAAGCCUGAUGCAGCAACGCCGCGUGCGGGAUGACGGCCUUCGGGUUGUAAACCGCUUUCGCCUGUGACGAAGCGUGAGUGACGGUAAUGGGUAAAGAAGCACCGGCUAACUACGUG
rnacentral:rRNA from 1 species